UGUACACUUAAUACUGCUCAGCUGCCAGAAGGAGUAGGAAUUGAAUAAAGGAAAAGUUCAUGUAGCUCUGGAGUUCUCCAUCUCUCUCUAUUGUAAAAGAAAUUCCCCAAUACCAGCUGGCUAGUUGUGCCUAAUAGUUGAUCCAAUCCCUUCUGCCUUACGGAAAGGAACAAAAAGAACAUUUCAGGCAAGCUCCCAUAUCACCUUAGUGGGAUCAUGGAAACUACUGCUGCCUCUGUCCUCACCUUCCCUUGUCUUUCUCCCCUGCAGAGACCAAUGGCAGACAUGACCAGUGUUCAAUAGACUGUCUGUGCCAGAAGGCUGACCUUAAACCCUAGUUUAAAAUACAGUGCAAACAUCAUUGGCCAGGAGUAAAACAGAAUACUAAAAUCACCUUCACAUCCAUCAUCUGGAAACAUUCUCUGGGUAGCUAAUUAAAAAUCCAUUUCCUAGACUCUGAGGAAUAUCAACCUGUUUGAUUCUCUGAGGUGAAAAUAUUACAAGUUAAAUAUAUAGCAGAUAAAUAAUCAGGUCACAAUUCUUUAUACAAUAUUCUCCCUGUCAUGGAAAAAGUAUGUAAUUUAAAUUUGUCAAGAGCCUGGAAACUGGAACAAAGACCUGAAACUGAAAUACCUUCUUUCAGACAUUGUUCUCACUAUACAAACAAAGUCUACAGCAGAAGAAGCCUCUCUGGAGAAAUCACAGUCUGCUGUUCAGCUGUGAAAUGAUCAAGUGAAAGUAUUCCUCCUCUACUUAGUACAUGACUUACCCAUUGGCUACAUGGUUUUUAGUUAGGUUAUUUGUCUGUCUUGAUUUGUAUAUCUUCCAGAAGAAAGUGACAUUAACAAUUUCAUAAUGUUUCCUUAAAUAAUCUGUGUUCUUUAAAAAUAUUUUGCUUUUAUAUUCAUCUAGCUUUUAAUGCCCUGGCUUUUUUCCCCUUUCCAAAAUUUCUCCUAUUCAUGUACAACUCAGUUUUCCUUUAACUGACUUAAAAUUAUCCUUAAAUGCAAAGGGUGAGUUUUAAGACACUCUGAAGUGUAUGAUCAAAGGGAAAUGAGAAAAUGUCUUUUCAAGAUCUUUUUGAGUGUGGUAGAAGUUUCCUCCUCCUCAUUCAUAUAGAGGAAGAAGCAGAUUGCAUGGAGCUGCCAGUUUAAAGAGGUGGGAGAUGGGUCAGUACAUGUAGAAUGGGGAAUACAGAGGAUAUGUCUACAUCAGCAAGAGAGAUAGACAUGUAGAGUGAAAGGGUUAGAGCUGAGAACCCAAUAUCCAUGCUGUACACAUUUCAGGGUUUAUAGCUUAUGAUGUAAACAGGACAACAUAGCUCUGAUGUUUCUGUACUCAUUUCUGCAGUCUUUUUCAUUCCUCUCAUUGUUUUUAGGUAUAACUGCUAGAAGGACCUGCCUAGACGUGCUGUGCAAAAGAUGCUGAGGGCAGCUUCUUCAUUAUCAGAAGAAAUUUCCCACAGAAACACGAACUGAAACAGACCUUUUGGAAAAGGGUAAUGCAGUCUUCAUAAUGAUCAUUACUUUGACUAUGAGAAUAAGCAAACUGUUAUGGCUGAUCAGCCACUUAAGGAGUUCUGUAAAGAUAAAAUCAUCCUUCAGCUUCAUUCCAUGCUUCCAUCCCAACACAACCAUUAAGGUAGGAUUUUGUUUCCUGAAUUGUUUUGUAAACCGGUUCUCAUCCUUGCCAAGGCAAUGGAAGCUACAUUACAGUGGUAAGAUUGCACCAGUGUGAAUAGGACCAAGGCAUUCAACGAAGUAGCUAAAACUCCGAUGUGGAUGUCAACGUCUAGGUUCUGCUGGGGACCGAUGGGGUGAGCUGCAAGGGAGAACAAUGUGAUUGCACAGGAUGUUUUUUCUUUUCUGUUUCCAGUUUGGGGCUUUACAGACAAACUUUUUGAAAGUUAGGUAAUACCUGUACAUGUUCACUGUCUGUGUGCAUGCUCACUAUCCAGUCAGCUUCUCACAUCACAAUUUCUAUGGAGCUUUUGCCUCAUUCAUGGCACAGAGCACCUUCUACGAAUAAAUCAGGGAUGUGUGGCAGACAGAUUUACCAGGGAUGUAAACAAAGUAAUCAGAUUUCCAUUACUAUUGACUGCAUGGCUCCCAUAGUCAGGGCUAGGUCUGUCCCUGUGCAGUGAUGGAAGCUGUUGUAUUUCAGAUUCCAGUGUCAUGUGUUGCAAAACUAGAAAGGCUGGUAGUGAAAGAGGUAGGAGAAGGCAGGAAAAGAAACACAGGUCCUAUAGAUAAAAGAUGCAUUUUGUCCCUUGAGAUUAUAAUUUAGUCCUACUUCUGUCACGGAGCUUUAAUUUGAUACUAAGCAAGUCAUUUUUAAAGCAUAAUGGCCAAGGAUGUCUUCUCUAUAUAUCUUCAAUAUAUAGAGAAUAUAUACAGAAUUCAACAUAGAGAGGUUCAAUUCAAGAUGUUGGGCAGACAGAUGGAGUUGCAGAAGUAUUUACACCUGCAACUUGUAUCAAUAAAAAUGCUACUUUUAACGUAUUUUAACAUACUACAUAUAGACGAGGUGAAAUGGCCUCAAGUUGCACCAGAGGAGGGUUAGCUUGGAUAUUAGGAGGUUUCUUUACUGAAGGGGUUGUGAGGCAUUGGAACAGGUUGCCCAGGGAAGUGGUUGAGUCACCACCCCUGGAGGUCUUCAAGAAACGUGCAGAUGAAGAACUUAGUAGCAUGGUUUAGUGGUGGACUUGUCAGUACUAGGUUAAAUGUUGGACUAGAUGAUCUCAGAGGUCUUUGCUUACCUGAAUGAUUCUAUGAUUCUGUGGCUAUAUGAUAUUAUCGUAGGUACUUAAAUCUAGGCCUUUUUAAUGGAGCAGCAGAUAUCUCUGACAAUUUUGACUUUAAUUUCUUGUCUCAGUUCUACAUGGGUAGAUGAUGGAUUACAAUACAAGCUCAAUUCAUGGGUAGAUUGUGAAGAAAAAUUAUUGUUUGUUAACAAAAAUUAUUGAAGUCCACAAGAAAACAGUGGAGCAUCUGCUAACAUUUUUGAAAGCAAUAAUCUGGGGAAAUAAACUAUGCCCUUUUGUAUAAAGAACUAGAUAUGAUGAUAACAAAAUGCACAAAAAUUACCAGUAAUCUAUUAGUGUAAGUAAUGAUUACCACUGUUUUCUUCAGUUAUUUACAUAUGAUUAUGUUACUGUCCUAAUCUAAUCCAAAAGUCAAUGUUUUUCAGAUCAAUGCAAAUCAUGUUUUAGUAGUUGAGAGAAUAAGGAGACUCCAUCUUCUAGACUUUCACUUUAAGAGUCUUGUUUAACAGCCAUUCCUUUAGGUGAUUCCAUUUUUCACAACAUGUCACGGAACAAAAAAACAUCUUUCUGACUGAAAACACCUCUGUUUAUGCCACCCCUACAACAAAAUGGGAAACAUAAUCCCCAGCUUUGUGUUGAAAUUAUAGAUACAGAUUUCAAUAAAAGUGUUUUGUUGUUGUUAUUUUACCUAGCAUUUGUAAUUGUUUAUUUUAACUUAAAUAUCCCAAGACACUUAGAAGACAAGAGAAUGAGACAGAGAUGGGGAAAGGAAGAGGGAUAGAAAUUUCAAGAGACUAUCAGAGUACAAGGAUGAACCAUAUCCUAGGAGUUAAGAUGAGGGCAAAUAGGAAUAGGAUCAAAAUAUAAAGUGAAAAUAUUAGGGGCAAAUGGAUAUUAUAUACUACAUACCUAAUCUUUCAAUGUUGUUUGGCUAACAUGGAGUUUUAAAUCAUCCAGUUGUCUUAGACGAAAAAGACAAGAUCAUACAAAUGUGAGUAGGAUUCAUCUUAUCCUUUCUUAGGCAGUUGAAGGAUAGGUAUCAUAUUUUCAAUCAGCAAAAAUUCAGCCAACAUAGUCAAUCAAAUUUAAAGUGCAAUUCAUCUGGCCAGACAUAGGCAGCUAUCUAAGAUGAGACGAAGCAUGCCCUGAAUUCCAUUGACUAUGCUGACUGGCUUUUCAGUGACUGUGAAAAAGUAGCAUGGGAUGAGAGAGAUGUGGACAUACUGGAAAAUGUCCAAUGGAGGGCCACCAGAAAGAUCAAGAGACUGGAGCAUCUUUCCUAUAAGGAGAGGCUGAGACAGUUGGGACUCUUCAGUGUGGAGAACAGGAGGCUCAAGGAGGAUCUUAUCAGUGUGUAUAAAUACCUGAAAGGAGGAUGCAAUGAGAUGGAGCCAGGCUCUUUUCAGUGGUGCCCAGUACCAGGACAAGAGACACAAACCAGAACACAAGAAAUUCCAUAUGAACAUCGGGAAGCACUUCUGUAUUGUGUGGGUGAUCGAACAGGUUUUCCAGAGUGGUCGUGGAGUCUCCCCCUUUAGAGAUCUUCAAAAGCCAUCUCGAUGUGGUCCUGGACAACCUGCUCGAAGGUGGCCCUGUUUGAGCAGGAGGUUGGACCAGAUGGCCUCUACAGGUCCCUUCCAACCCUAAAUAUUCUGUAAUACUGUGAUUCCAUGAUAUAAUUUGAUCAGAAGUUAAUAUCUAUAGCGUAGACCAUCACAUUUGACCUUAUCAGUCACAUCUUUUGAAAUCCUUCAGGUAAUCACUGACUACAUCUCAACUACUAAAUGUUUUAUUUCCAAGUUCUACUCCCAAAUAUAAAUUAAAAACAAAAACAAAAACAACAACAAACUUGAAAUGACCGAUCAAAAAAGUUACUGAUAGUCACCUUAAUGUCAAGAGUUAUGAUCUUGUGGAUAAAUGUCUGCAUAUCACAUAUGGCUGAGAUGCCUUGGUCAGAGCAAAUUCUGGAAGUGUAGACUCAUUGCCAUCUAAUACAGACCUCUGUGAUAUUUUCACUAAUGCCAACUUUUAGGCAGCUAUGGUCUAACACCAUAACUAUCCCAAAUUCAGCCAUUCCACCAUCAAUGAAGAUCUUUAUAGACAUUUCGGUGGCACAUGGUGAUAUUGAAAUGGAGUUGACCUUUUUAAAUUAAUGUGAUUCCAUGAUCUGCACCUUGUCCAUACAUUUAAACAUUCUUCACUCUGCUAAUUGAAAGAAUGAUUGUCCCGACAUUUGCCAAGACUGCCACUACAGGCAGUUGUCUUCUUCAAACUGGAAGCACUGUAUGCUAAAACUUGUGCUUUUUUCAUAUUGUCUGAUUCUUUCCAAGACUGGGUUAACCAAGGCUGUUUCACUCACCUCUAAGAAGACGCCCUGCUACUCUCAGAUUUCAAACAGGCCUGGCUUUUCACUUGUCCUAGACUGCUCAGUAACUGUAUUCCAUACAACCUCUUUACUAGAAACAUCGGUAUGCCACGUUAAUAAAGCCAUUUACAAAGUUGCUGUAAAGCUUCAUUUUAACAACAAAGACUGUUCAAUAGAAAAGGCAGAUAAAAAAGAUACAUCCUGCCUCAGUGAGGAAAGUGUGAAACACUUUAAAAAAUUAGAAGGAAAUGCUGAUCUAGACAACACACACAACUUUUAGACAACUCAAUUUUUUCUAGAAAGAGCAAGAAGAGAUCAAGCUAUCGUGAAACUUAAUGUAACAAAACCCAAAUGCAAAACCUUGACACUAGUCACAAAACUUGGUACCUCUCAGAUGCUUGAACCACAGCAGUAUCACGUGGUAUUUUUGAACAGUAUGGCUGAUUCACCUGAGAAGUCUUACAAAGCAACAAGGACAAAAGGUUAGAAUAGGCAGCAAAGAAGAAUUAAUGGCACUGCAAGCAAUGAAUAUGUGUAAAAGAAGAACGUCCUUCAAUGAAGAUGUAAUGUGGAUGGUGGUUGAAACAUUUAAAAUUAGUAAUAACUCUGAGCUUUUGUUGUUUCCAUGAAGUACUAAAAAUAGAGAAGUACUGAUGAACUGUAUUUCUUUUUAGUCAUCCAGAAGAACAAAACGCCUAGGAUCUGUUUGACUACAACGUUAAAACAGAAAAGAGGGGGCAAGAAAAGAAGAACUUCCUGUGUUCUAUGCUUAUGCCUUGCAAGUGAAGUAACAUCUUCAGCAACCAUUGCUGCCAACCCUUUGCCAAAACAUGACUACAGAAUACUUUAAAAGGUUGUCCUUCAAAAGACAGCUACAAUGAUGGUAUGCUGUGUACGGCUCAAAAAGGAUUCAGACCACGGCCCAGAAACUGAGUGAAUGCUCACCUCAGGGUCAAGAGGAAGGCAGUCACGGAGAUCCUAGACCUCAACCACGUCCAUUUCUUACACAGGCCCAUACUUGGGUCAACGAUCCUGUCACUGAACAGCCCCCUUUUACAAUACCUAGGUUAAGCCCAGCUCUUGAAGACCUCAAGAAAUGGUUUCAAGACCAACCAGUUCUAAACUCUUCAUAGGCUAGUUAGGAAAUUACAAAAGUACUGAAGGUGGCAGACAUUUUGUCUAUGGAAAUGGUGUCCAUCUGGCUGUCCAGUGCCAGAUUUUCAGUCACCUAGAGGAAGAACGUUGGCCUGGAGGAAGUGAUCUUUUGGUCACGAAGAACGGAUGGAUGGGUAAACCGCAUCUCCAAAAGGAAUUUCCAGUCCUUUCUGUACAAAUCACCCAAAUCCCGUAAGUAGAUCGGCAUUUUCUGAACGGAUGCCUCCUGGACAGCGGUCCCAAACUCGUUUAUCAAAGUAGAAUAUUGAGGGGUGUCUCCGUUUCUGAGAAAUGCUUUUGCAAGUCUUUGGCCAAAAAAAAAUAAAAUAAAAU